ensembl:snoRNA
GCAUGGUAAUGGAUUUAUGGCUUGUCCUCUGUGGGCAUCUAACAGUAGACCCAUGCCAGAGAAAACUGCAGCUUCAAACUAUUGCCCUGUCUCCUUACCUGUGGGCUGUGAGCACUGAAGAGGGUUGUGAAGUG